rfam:Oryza rufipogon genomic scaffold, chr04
GCUUUCAACUGAAAAAGUCAUCAACAACAAAGUUGUAUAACUCAUCAAGAUCUAUAACUUUUAUUUUGGUCAUUUCUUCAUCCGACAAAGUGAUAGUAACAUUGUUCAAAAAAUUCACAUAUCUCUUAUCUUGUUUUAUAAACUAUAACACAUAUAUGUAAAUUUUGCGAACAUUGUUACUAACACUUUGUCAGAUAAAGAAAUGACAAAAUAAAAGUUGUAGAUCUUGAUGAGUUAUGCAACUUUGUUGUUGAUGACUUUUUUAGUUGAAAUC